UACGUAGGGGGCAAGCGUUGUCCGGAAUCAUUGGGCGUAAAGAGCGUGUAGGCGGCCUGAUAAGUCGGUUGUGAAAGUCAAGGGCUCAACCCUUGAAUGCCGGCCGAUACUGUCAGGCUAGAGUCCGGAAGAGGCGAGUGGAAUUCCUGGUGUAGCGGUGAAAUGCGCAGAUAUCAGGAAGAACACCAAUGGCGAAAGCAGCUUUCUGGGACGGUACUGACGCUGAGACGCGAAAGCGUGGGGAGCGAACAGG
rnacentral:rRNA from 1 species